UUGUGUGUGGUAUAGCACGUGGAAUUCAGUUGGUAUCUUAUAGAUUUUAUCAGUUAUUUGCCUGAUUGUUCAGACUGCUGAGAUGAUUUCAUGUCUUGUGGUGUUGCAGUUUGAGUCCCACUGGACUGGAACAGGAAGCAGUCAGUGGAUUUGCUGAGAAUGAGAAUACAGCCUGGAACCCUUGGAUGACAGUGAAUGUUACAUGUAGGACUGAACUGAAGGCUUUGUUCCCCUUAUACCUUAUCUUACAAUUAAAAGAGCUACGUUGGUUAAGGUUGUGGCACUCAGCAACAAAUUGGAUGAAAUCUGUGAUUCAGGUGGAUGAUAAGACUGUAACUGCUGUGCCUGGAUGAAAUUAGGAAAUUCUGGACAACGUGAGGUAAGUUAUUUGCGGUGUUCUGUAGGCACUAUAGUCACAAGUAAUGACCAACACUGUGUAUCCCACCACACUGCUUUGUUUCAGUAUUUCUGUACUUUGCAGUGGCAUGAGAGCUGUGAUUGUAAAAUGAAGGAGAGGAAAGAAAAAUCGAGCUGUGCCCUUUGCAAAUCUUUUGUGGGACUCUUCUUGGCUUGAGGUGGAAACAGCAGCAGCCCCUGCACGGAUUCAUCUUGUGCCAGUGUUCCCAGUUAACAGUGGUUUAGUGCACAGUGGUUUUGAUUGUGUGCAUACAUGAACACUCUUCCCCCCCGACGUAAGGAAACUGCAUCUGUAUUUCAUAUGAGCAACACAGUGUAAAGUGGGAACUCUCACAUUUGUUGUGCUAUUUUAAGAUACCCUUUACAAACAUAAUCUCACCAUAUAGUGCUUCUGGUACUCUGUGUGUACUUAUACACCAUCAGAGACCUCCUGCAUAUCAGCAUUGCCCUCCUGCAGGGUCUCUGCUUACUG